GAUGAACGCUGGCGGCGUGCCUAAUACAUGCAAGUCGAGCGAACAGACGAGGAGCUUGCUCCUCUGACGUUAGCGGCGGACGGGUGAGUAACACGUGGAUAACCUACCUAUAAGACUGGGAUAACUUCGGGAAACCGGAGCUAAUACCGGAUAAUAUAUUGAACCGCAUGGUUCAAUAGUGAAAGACGGUUUUGCUGUCACUUAUAGAUGGAUCCGCGCCGCAUUAGCUAGUUGGUAAGGUAACGGCUUACCAAGGCAACGAUGCGUAGCCGACCUGAGAGGGUGAUCGGCCACACUGGAACUGAGACACGGUCCAGACUCCUACGGGAGGCAGCAGUAGGGAAUCUUCCGCAAUGGGCGAAAGCCUGACGGAGCACCGCCGCGUGAGUGAUGAAGGUCUUCGGAUCGUAAAACUCUGUUAUUAGGGAAGAACAAAUGUGUAAGUAACUAUGCACGUCUUGACGGUACCUAAUCAGAAAGCUACGGCUAACUACGUG
rnacentral:rRNA from 1 species